UCGUACACAUCAGCCUGGGAGAAAGAUAAAACCAGCGUUCACAUUAUGCCGGAUACACCUGGUAUUUUGCUAGCCCAGCAGAACCAAGCGAACUUCAGUGAGAAACUGUACAAGCUUGCGAUGGAGGAAGAGAAGAAAAAGGGCUACGACAUGCGGGCAGAUGCCAUUCCUAUCAAGUCUGCUAAAGCUUCCAGGGACAUUGCAAGUGAU